rnacentral:rRNA from 1 species
AUCUGGGCGGCGGAAUUCAGGAUGGCCGGCAUGCUCUCGCAGUGUGUCGGUCGUUUGAUAUUUCCGUCGCCAACAAACUGCAGACGUCGCGACCUGUUCGCGGUCGGUCCCUGCUCGGAGGAGCCACGUUCGAGCUCGUUGUGUGCGCGUUUCGGCGCGUCACACGGCGAAGGCGUGGAUCUCUGGCUGGCCGUCGGACAGUAUGCUUAGCGGUGUCCGGUGUCGUCGUCUCGUACGCGCGGCAUCGGUACCGGUCAGCGACGAAUUCUUCGGGCCUCUUUCCGACCCGUCUUGAAACACGGACCAAGGAGUCUAACAUGCGCGCGAGUCGCGGGGUAUCGAGCGUACUUCGGUGCGUUCGUUAUGUUGCUAAACCCGUACAUGUCGAAGGCGUAAUGAAAGUGAAUGGGGAAGAUGGUGUUCCGAG